rnacentral:rRNA from 1 species
UACGUAGGUGGCAAGCGUUGUCCGGAAUUACUGGGCGUAAAGCGUGCGCAGGCGGUUUUGUAAGCCAGAUGUGAAAUCCCCGGGCUUAACCUGGGAAUGGCAUUUGGGACUGCAAGGCUGGAGUUUGGCAGAGGAGACUGGAAUUCCUGGUGUAGCAGUGAAAUGCGUAGAUAUCAGGAGGAACACCGAUGGCGAAGGCAGGUCUCUGGGCUGAAACUGACGCUCAUGCACGAAAGCGUGGGGAGCAAACAGG